rnacentral:rRNA from 1 species
AAUGAACGCUGGCGGCGCGCCUAAUACAUGCAAGUCGAGCGAGAAGACGUAGCAAUACGUUUGUAAAGCGGCGAACGGGUGAGGAAUACAUGGGUAACCUACCCUCGAGUGGGGAAUAACUAGCCGAAAGGUUAGCUAAUACCGCGUACGCUUCUUGGACUUCGGUUCAGGGAGGAAAGCGAUACCGUGGGUAUCGCGCUCUUGGAUGGGCUCAUGUCCUAUCAGCUUGUUGGUGAGGUAACGGCUCACCAAGGCUUCGACGGGUAGCUGGUCUGAGAGGACGAUCAGCCACACUGGCACUGCGACACGGGCCAGACUCCUACGGGAGGCAGCAGUAAGGAAUAUUGCGCAAUGGGCGAAAGCCUGACGCAGCGACGCCGCGUGGGGGAUGAAGGUCUUCGGAUUGUAAACCCCUUUCGGGAGGGAAGAUGGAAUGGGGUAACCCGAUUCGGACGGUACCUCCAGAAGCAGCCACGGCUAACUUCGUGCCAGCCGCCGCGGUAA